AUUGAACGCUGGCGGCAUGCCUUACACAUGCAAGUCGAACGGUAACGGGCCUUCGGGUGCCGACGAGUGGCGAACGGGUGAGUAAUGCAUCGGAACGUACCUUUCGGUGGGGGAUAACGUAGCGAAAGUUACGCUAAUACCGCAUAUUCUGUGAGCAGGAAAGCAGGGGAUCGCAAGACCUUGCGCUGAUUGAGCGGCCGAUGUCAGAUUAGCUAGUUGGUGAGGUAAAGGCUCACCAAGGCGACGAUCUGUAGCGGGUCUGAGAGGAUGAUCCGCCACACUGGAACGGAGACACGGUCCAGACUCCGACGGGAGGCAGCAGUGGGGAGUUUUGGACAAUGGGGGCAACCCUGAGCCAGCCAUGCCGCGUGAGUGAAGAAGGCCUUCGGGUUGUAAAGCUCUUUCGGCCGGGAAGAAAUCGUAUGGGCUAAUACCCUGUGCGGAUGACGGUACCGGCAUAAGAAGCACCGGCUAACUACGUGCCAGCCGCCGCCGUAACAC
rnacentral:rRNA from 1 species